rnacentral:misc_RNA from 1 species
GUGAAUCAUCGAAUCUUUGAACGCACCUUGCGCCCCUUGGUAUUCCGAGGGGCACACCUGUUGGAGUGUCAUGAAUACCUCAACCCUUAUAUGUUUUAUCACUUAUAAGGUGUUGGUUGUGAGCGUUUGCCGGUCGCAAGAUCGGCUCGCUUUAAAAUCAUUAGCUGGAUCCACUUUGACCUGGUUCUACUCGGCGUAAUAAGUUAUUAUCGUUGAGGACACUUUUCUUAGGAAUGGUGGCCACAGUAAAGGUUGCGAACCGCUUCUAAUACGUCUGCUUAGUCUUCGGGCUAUGCAACA